AUUGAACGCUGGCGGCAGGCCUAACACAUGCAAGUCGAACGGUAACAGGAAGCAGCUUGCUGCUUCGCUGACGAGUGGCGGACGGGUGAGUAAUGUCUGGGAAACUGCCUGAUGGAGGGGGAUAACUACUGGAAACGGUAGCUAAUACCGCAUAACGUCGCAAGACCAAAGAGGGGGACCUUCGGGCCUCUUGCCAUCGGAUGUGCCCAGAUGGGAUUAGCUAGUAGGUGGGGUAACGGCUCACCUAGGCGACGAUCCCUAGCUGGUCUGAGGGGAUGACCAGCAACACUGGAACUGAGACACGGUCCGGACUCCUACGGGAGGCAGCAGUGGGGAAUAUUGCACAAUGGGCGCAAGCCUGAUGCAGCCAUGCCGCGUGUAUGAAGAAGGCCUUCGGGUUGUAAAGUACUUUCAGCGGGGAGGAAGGCGAUAAGGUUAAUAACCUUGUCGAUUGACGUUACCCGCAGAAGAAGCACCGGCUAACUCCGUGCCAGCAGCCGCGGUAA
rnacentral:rRNA from 1 species